GAUGAACGCUGGCGGCGUGCCUAAUACAUGCCAGUCGAACGAAACUUCUUUAUCACCGAGUGCUUGCACUCACCGAUAAAGAGUUGAGUGGCGAACGGGUGAGUAACACGUGGGCAACCUGCCCAAAAGAGGGGGAUAACACUUGGAAACAGGUGCUAAUACCGCAUAACCAUAGUUACCGCAUGGUAACUAUGUAAAAGGUGGCUAUACUACCGCUUUUGGAUGGGCCCGCGGCGCAUUAGCUAGUUGGUAGGGUAAAGGCUUACCAAGGCAAUGAUGCGUGGCCGAAUUGGUGGGUUGUGCGGCCACAUGGGGCAUGAGACGCGGCACAAACUCAGUCGGGAGGCCGCAGGAGGGAAUCUUCCCAAUGGGGCGAAAGCCUGAGGGGGGAACGCAGGGGGGGUGAAGAAGGUCUUCGGAUCGUAAACCCCUUUUGUUAGGAAAAAAAGUGGGGGAGGGUAACUGUUCACGUUUGAAGGGUAUUAAACCAGAAAGCCCGGGCUAACUAGGG
rnacentral:rRNA from 1 species